rnacentral:rRNA from 1 species
AUACGUAGGUGGCAAGCGUUGUCCGGAUUUACUGGGUGUAAAGGGAGCGCAGGCGGGGAAGCAAGUCAGUUGUGAAAACUAUGGGCUUGACUCAUAGAUUGCAGUUGAAACUGUUUCUCUUGAGUGGAGUAGAGGUAAGCGGAAUUCCGAGUGUAACGGUGAAAUGUGUAGAGAUUCGGAGGAACACCAGUGGCGAAGGCGGCUUACUGGGCUCUAACUGACGCUGAGGCUCGAAAGUGUGGGGAGCAAACAGGAUUAGAUACCCUGGUAGUCCACACCGUAAACGAUGAUUACUAGGUGUGGGGGGUCUGACCCCCUCCGUGCCGCAGUUAACGCAAUAAGUAAUCCACCUGGGGAGUACGACCGCAAGGUUGAAACUCAAAUGAAUUGACGGGG